AGCGAACGCUGGCGGCAGGCCUAACACAUGCAAGUCGAACGGAACUUCCGUGAUUAGUGGCGGUCGGGUGAGUAACACGUGGGAACGUGCCUGUAGGUUCCGAAUAAUUCAGGUUAACUUGUGCUAAUACCGCAUGUGCUCUUCGGGGGAAAGAUUAAUCGCCUUUAGAGCGGCCCGUGUCUGUUUAGCUAGUUGGGUGUGGUAAUGGCUCUCCAAGGCGAGGAUCAGUAGCUGGUCCGAGAGGAUGAUCAGCCACAUUGGGACUUGGACACGGCCCGAACUCCUACGGGAGGCAGGAGUGGGUGAUCUUGCGCAAUGGGCGAAAGCCUGACGCAGCCAUGCCGCGUGAAUGAUGAUGGUCUGAGGAUUGUAAAAUUCUUUCACCGGGGGCGAUAAUGACGGUACCCGGAGAAGAAGCCCCGGCUAACUUCGUG
rnacentral:rRNA from 1 species